UUAAGCGACUAAGCGUACACGGUGGAUGCCCUGGCAGUCAGAGGCGAUGAAGGACGUGCUAAUCUGCGAUAAGCGUCGGUAAGGUGAUAUGAACCGUUAUAACCGGCGAUUUCCGAAUGGGGAAACCCAGUGUGAUUCGUCACACUAUCAUUAACUGAAUCCAUAGGUUAAUGAGGCGAACCGGGGGAACUGAAACAUCUAAGUACCCCGAGGAAAAGAAAUCAACCGAGAUUCCCCCAGUAGCGGCGAGCGAACGGGGAGCAGCCCAGAGCCUGAAUCAGUGUGUGUGUUAGUGGAAGCGUCUGGAAAGGCGCGCGAUACAGGGUGACAGCCCCGUACACAAAAAUGCACAUGCUGUGAGCUCGAUGAGUAGGGCGGGACACGUGGUAUCCUGUCUGAAUAUGGGGGGACCAUCCUCCAAGGCUAAAUACUCCUGACUGACCGAUAGUGAACCAGUACCGUGAGGGAAAGGCGAAAAGAACCCCGGCGAGGGGAGUGAAAAAGAACCUGAAACCGUGUACGUACAAGCAGUGGGAGCACGCUUCGGCGUGUGACUGCGUACCUUUUGUAUAAUGGGUCAGCGACUUAUAUUCUGUAGCAAGGUUAACCGAAUAGGGGAGCCGAAGGGAAACCGAGUCUUAACUGGGCGUUAAGUUGCAGGGUAUAGACCCGAAACCCGGUGAUCUAGCCAUGGGCAGGUUGAAGGUUGGGUAACACUAACUGGAGGACCGAACCGACUAAUGUUGAAAAAUUAGCGGAUGACUUGUGGCUGGGGGUGAAAGGCCAAUCAAACCGGGAGAUAGCUGGUUCUCCCCGAAAGCUAUUUAGGUAGCGCCUCGUGAAUUCAUCUCCGGGGGUAGAGCACUGUUUCGGCAAGGGGGUCAUCCCGACUUACCAACCCGAUGCAAACUGCGAAUACCGGAGAAUGUUAUCACGGGAGACACACGGCGGGUGCUAACGUCCGUCGUGAAGAGGGAAACAACCCAGACCGCCAGCUAAGGUCCCAAAGUCAUGGUUAAGUGGGAAACGAUGUGGGAAGGCCCAGACAGCCAGGAUGUUGGCUUAGAAGCAGCCAUCAUUUAAAGAAAGCGUAAUAGCUCACUGGUCGAGUCGGCCUGCGCGGAAGAUGUAACGGGGCUAAACCAUGCACCGAAGCUGCGGCAGCGACGCUGAUGCGUUGUUGGGUAGGGGAGCGUUCUGUAAGCCUGUGAAGGUGUGCUGUGAGGCAUGCUGGAGGUAUCAGAAGUGCGAAUGCUGACAUAAGUAACGAUAAAGCGGGUGAAAAGCCCGCUCGCCGGAAGACCAAGGGUUCCUGUCCAACGUUAAUCGGGGCAGGGUGAGUCGACCCCUAAGGCGAGGCCGAAAGGCGUAGUCGAUGGGAAACAGGUUAAUAUUCCUGUACUUGGUGUUACUGCGAAGGGGGGACGGAGAAGGCUAUGUUGGCCGGGCGACGGUUGUCCCGGUUUAAGCGUGUAGGCUGGUUUUCCAGGCAAAUCCGGAAAAUCAAGGCUGAGGCGUGAUGACGAGGCACUACGGUGCUGAAGCAACAAAUGCCCUGCUUCCAGGAAAAGCCUCUAAGCAUCAGGUAACAUCAAAUCGUACCCCAAACCGACACAGGUGGUCAGGUAGAGAAUACCAAGGCGCUUGAGAGAACUCGGGUGAAGGAACUAGGCAAAAUGGUGCCGUAACUUCGGGAGAAGGCACGCUGAUAUGUAGGUGAAGUCCCUUGCGGAUGGAGCUGAAAUCAGUCGAAGAUACCAGCUGGCUGCAACUGUUUAUUAAAAACACAGCACUGUGCAAACACGAAAGUGGACGUAUACGGUGUGACGCCUGCCCGGUGCCGGAAGGUUAAUUGAUGGGGUUAGCGGUAACGCGAAGCUCUUGAUCGAAGCCCCGGUAAACGGCGGCCGUAACUAUAACGGUCCUAAGGUAGCGAAAUUCCUUGUCGGGUAAGUUCCGACCUGCACGAAUGGCGUAAUGAUGGCCAGGCUGUCUCCACCCGAGACUCAGUGAAAUUGAACUCGCUGUGAAGAUGCAGUGUACCCGCGGCAAGACGGAAAGACCCCGUGAACCUUUACUAUAGCUUGACACUGAACAUUGAGCCUUGAUGUGUAGGAUAGGUGGGAGGCUUUGAAGUGUGGACGCCAGUCUGCAUGGAGCCGACCUUGAAAUACCACCCUUUAAUGUUUGAUGUUCUAACGUUGACCCGUAAUCCGGGUUGCGGACAGUGUCUGGUGGGUAGUUUGACUGGGGCGGUCUCCUCCUAAAGAGUAACGGAGGAGCACGAAGGUUGGCUAAUCCUGGUCGGACAUCAGGAGGUUAGUGCAAUGGCAUAAGCCAGCUUGACUGCGAGCGUGACGGCGCGAGCAGGUGCGAAAGCAGGUCAUAGUGAUCCGGUGGUUCUGAAUGGAAGGGCCAUCGCUCAACGGAUAAAAGGUACUCCGGGGAUAACAGGCUGAUACCGCCCAAGAGUUCAUAUCGACGGCGGUGUUUGGCACCUCGAUGUCGGCUCAUCACAUCCUGGGGCUGAAGUAGGUCCCAAGGGUAUGGCUGUUCGCCAUUUAAAGUGGUACGCGAGCUGGGUUUAGAACGUCGUGAGACAGUUCGGUCCCUAUCUGCCGUGGGCGCUGGAGAAUUGAGGGGGGCUGCUCCUAGUACGAGAGGACCGGAGUGGACGCAUCACUGGUGUUCGGGUUGUCAUGCCAAUGGCACUGCCCGGUAGCUAAAUGCGGAAGAGAUAAGUGCUGAAAGCAUCUAAGCACGAAACUUGCCCCGAGAUGAGUUCUCCCUGACUCCUUGAGAGUCCUGAAGGAACGUUGAAGACGACGACGUUGAUAGGCCGGGUGUGUAAGCGCAGCGAUGCGUUGAGCUAACCGGUACUAAUGAACCGUGAGGCUUAACCUU
rnacentral:rRNA from 1 species